GACGAACGCUGGCGGCGUGCCUAAUACAUGCAAGUAGAACGCACAGUUUAUACCGUAGCUUGCUACACCAUAGACUGUGAGUUGCGAACGGGUGAGUAACGCGUAGGUAACCUGCCUGGUAGCGGGGGAUAACUACUGGAAACGAUAGCUAAUACCGCAUAAUAUUGAUUAUUGCAUGAUAAUUGAUUGAAAGAUGCUAUUGCAUCACUACCAGAUGGACCUGCGUUGUAUUAGCUAGUAGGUGAGGUAACGGCUCACCUAGGCGACGAUACAUAGCCGACCUGGGAGGGUGAUCGGCCACACUGGGACUGAGACACGGCCCAGACUCCUACGGGAGGCAGCCGUAGGGAAUCUUCGGCAAUGGACGAAAGUCUGACCGAGCAACGCCGCGUGAGUGAAGAAGGUUUUCGGAUCGUAAAGCUCUGUUGUAAGAGAAGAACGGGUGUGAGAGUGGAAAGUUCACACUGUGACGGUAUCUUACCAGAAAGGGACGGCUAACUACGUG
rnacentral:rRNA from 1 species